GUCUCCAUAGCUCAGUGGUUUAGAGCGGCCGGCAGGGAAGCGGCAGGUCACGUGUUCAAAUCACGUUGGGGACU
rnacentral:tRNA from 1 species